CAUAUCUUUGAUGGUUCUCCUUCGCAGCAGGAGAGGUACGGAGGAUGAAUUGAGGGGCCAGUGCGAUGGGGACGGCAAAAAAGCACCGAGUGGUCCCGAGCAAUGGAGCCACUGUGUGCUGCUCCGCCACCGCAACGCGCGCUCGGAUUGCUUCCUCCACUUCUCCUAAGAAGAAGGGAAGUUAAUGAUUUCGUUAGUAAGGUGGGCUGCAAAAAUCGUAACAUCUCAAAGCACCAGCAGUUUCUUUCUGUGAUUUGUUGAAGAAUUUUAUAUGCAGAACCAUGAUUUUAGAUAAAAAUACAAGAUGGAUCGAAAAGGAUGACGCAAAGAGCCGUAGGAGUCCACGACGGUAGAUCGGCAGCUAUAGACGUGAAUGCGGUGUCAGGCGUUGGAGAUCCACAGAUGAAGCUGUUGAUGAACACGCCUUCACGAUGCGAGUUGUAUGGGGAGGCUCGGAAGGAUGUAAUGGACUUUAUGAUUGUGGUGGAAGUAGGGGCUGAGUCCAAAUUGUAUUCUGCUUUUAACUUUAUUGCUUGAACUAUUGUAAUGUGUAUUGCUGAUGGACUCAUGCCCUGCCAUAUUGAUAUUCUGCUAGCUUCCUCCUUCCCAAAUCCUGUUAGGUGCCCCCUUCCAAGCAGGUUACAUGAUGCACCUAUCUCCUUCCAAGCAGGUUACGUGAUGGACUGCACCUAGAUCAAAACUCAACUUUCUAAAUCUAGCAUCUGGCCAAUAGUUUUUCCUUCA